ACGAACGCUGGCGGCGUGCCUAAUACAUGCAAGUAGAACGCUGAAGGAGGAGCUUGCUUCUCUGGAUGAGUUGCGAACGGGUGAGUAACGCGUAGGUAACCUGCCUGGUAGCGGGGGAUAACUAUUGGAAACGAUAGCUAAUACCGCAUAAGAGUAGAUGUUGCAUGACAUUUACUUAAAAGGUGCAAUUGCAUCACUACCAGAUGGACCUGCGUUGUAUUAGCUAGUUGGUGAGGUAACGGCUCACCAAGGCAACGAUACAUAGCCGACCUGAGAGGGUGAUCGGCCACACUGGGACUGAGACACGGCCCAGACUCCUACGGGAGGCAGCAGUAGGGAAUCUUCGGCAAUGGACGGAAGUCUGACCGAGCAACGCCGCGUGAGUGAAGAAGGUUGUCGGAUCGUAAAGCUCUGUUGUAAGAGAAGAACGAGUGUGAGAGUGGAAAGUUCACACUGUGACGGUAUCUUACCAGAAAGGGACGGCUAACUACGUG
rnacentral:rRNA from 1 species